GCCGGUGUAGCACAGUGGUAGUGCAGCGGUUUUGUAAACCGAAGGUCGGGAGUUCGAGUCUCUCCACCGGCACCA
rnacentral:tRNA from 2 species